rnacentral:rRNA from 1 species
UACGUAGGGCGCAAGCGUUGUCCGGAAUUAUUGGGCGUAAAGAGCUCGUAGGCGGUUCGUCGCGUCGGCUGUGAAAACCCGAGGCUCAACCUCGGGCCUGCAGUCGAUACGGGCGGACUGGAGUUCGGCAGGGGAGACUGGAAUUCCUGGUGUAGCGGUGAAAUGCGCAGAUAUCAGGAGGAACACCGGUGGCGAAGGCGGGUCUCUGGGCCGAUACUGACGCUGAGGAGCGAAAGCGUGGGGAGCGAACAGG